UCGAUCACAUGGGCAAGCUUGAGA
rnacentral:siRNA from 1 species